GCUAGCGUGGUGGAGUGGUUUUAGUGUUAGACUAGGACUCUUGAGACCAAGGUUCAAAUCCUGGCUCAUCCA